UACGGGGGGAGCAAGCGUUGUUCGGAUUUACUGGGCGUAAAGGGCGCGUAGGCGGUCAUGACAAGUCACUUGUGAAAUCUCCGGGCUUAACUCGGAACGGUCAAGUGAUACUGUCAGACUAGAGUGCAGAAGGGGCAACUGGAAUUCUCGGUGUAGCGGUGAAAUGCGUAGAUAUCGAGAGGAACACCUGCGGCGAAGGCGGGUUGCUGGGCCGACACUGACGCUGAGGCGCGAAAGCCAGGGGAGCGAACGGG
rnacentral:rRNA from 1 species